UGGGGAAUAUUGGACAAUGGGCGCAAGCCUGAUCCAGCCAUGCCGCGUGAGUGAUGAAGGCCUUCGGGUUGUAAAGCUCUUUUGUCCGGGAAGAUAAUGACUGUACCGGAAGAAUAAGCCCCGGCUAACUUCGUGCCAGCAGCCGCGGUAAUACGAAGGGGGCUAGCGUUGUUCGGAAUCACUGGGCGUAAAGCGCACGUAGGCGGCUUGUUAAGUCAGAGGUGAAAGCCUGGAGCUCAACUCCAGAACUGCCUUUGAUACUGGCAAGCUCGAGGAUAGCAGAGGUUGGUGGAACUCCGAGUGUAGAGGUGAAAUUCGUAGAUAUUCGGAAGAACACCAGUGGCGAAGGCGGCCAACUGGGCUAUUACUGACGCUGAGGUGCGAAAGCGUGGGGAGCAAACA
rnacentral:rRNA from 1 species